UACAGAGGGUGCAAGCGUUGUUCGGAAUUAUUGGGCGUAAAGCGCGUGUAGGCGGCUUUGCAAGUCGGGUGUGAAAGCCCUCGGCUCAACCGAGGAAGUGCGCCCGAAACUGCAUUGCUUGAGUACCGGAGAGGGUAGCGGAAUUCCCCAAGUAGAGGUGAAAUUCGUAGAUAUGGGGAGGAACACCGGUGGCGAAGGCGGCUACCUGGACGGUACUGACGCUGAGACGCGAAAGCGUGGGGAGCAAACAGG
rnacentral:rRNA from 1 species